CCACCUCAACCUCCCAAAGUACUGGGAUUACAAGCAUGAGUAACCGUGCCCAGACCGGUUUUGUUUAUAAACCACCCCUUGCCCUACCUCUCCCAGGGGUCUAUGAGGAGCCCUCUAAUCUUUAAUCCAUGGCCCUAGGUUCAGGGGAGGGGGUCGGGCCAGGGCAGGCCAUGGAAAGUGAAGUGGACUUGGGGGGAGUCAGAAAGCUUUGGUGUGGCCUCUUGUGCCCAAGACAACCCAGGAGGUUCAGGGUCCUGAAGCCAAUGUAAUCUAGGGCCUAAACCUUCUAAUCUCAGGGUGGGCAGAAGCUGGGUGUAGAAUGGGGUGCUCAGAGGGGCUCAGGGGUGUUCAGGGUGCCAGUGUGGGACCCUCACCUUGGCACUGGAAGAUUUCAGGCCUCCUCAAACAGAUGGGGCCCAGGACAGCAGAGGGGACAGAGAGGGCUGCUCUGCUGUGGCCAGCAUGUCCCAGAGGUGCAUGUGGAUACAGAGGGCAGCAGCUGCUGAAAUGGUCAUGGGCAUUGGACUAUGCUGGAGUGGGGACACCUCACCCCGACUCUGCCAGCUCACACCGGGCACUUUCACUUCCCUUAGAAUAGGCCCCUUGCACACUGCUACCCACAGUUUGCAUCAGAAGAAAUGGAAGAGACCUGCUUAAGGUCGCACACCCAGUGGCAGAGCAGGGACUCUGCGCAGGGUGGUCUAACUGGGGAGCUGGGGCCAAGCCCGGCCUCUCCAGUCAGCUGCGGGGGCGCACCCCGGGGCACUGGGAGUCCAGGCCCGGUUUUGCAUCAGGCCCUGCCGAGGUGUUUCCUCCUCCUCAGUGUGGGGCAGCUGCUGGCCGGGCUGCCUGUUGAGUCAGCCUUCUUCCCUCACGGCUCUUCUCCCAGUCCCUGAAACUCGGCUGCCAGGGGAGCUGGAGUCACCUGCGAAGGUGUCCUCCCAUACUGGACCCCUACAGGAAGCUACGUGUGCCCAGCUGGGGCACAGCCCCAGCUGAUGCCCCAGAGGGGCCACCCAUCUCAAGAGGGGCUUUGGGGUCUGCCCUCCCUCCCCAUGGCGCAUGGGCCAAAGCCUGAGACUGAAGGACUACUGGACCUCAGCUUCCUGACAGAGGAGGAGCAGGAGGCCAUUGCUGGUGUCCUCCAACGAGAUGCCCGCCUGCGCCAGCUGGAGGAAGGGCGGGUCAGCAAGCUCCGGGCCUCACUGGCAGACCCUGGGCAGCUGAAGAUCCUGACAGGGGACUGGUUCCAGGAAGCACGCUCCCAGCGGCACCACAAUGCCCACUUCGGCUCUGACCUUGUCCGAGCCUCUAUGCGCAGGAAGAAGAGCGCCAGGGGAGACCAGGCUCCAGGCAGCGACGGGGAGGCUGAGGCUGCUGUGAAAGAGAAGGAAGAGGGGCCAGAACCCAGGCUCACCAUUGAUGAGGCCCCUCAGGAGAGGCUCAGGGAGACUGAGGAACCUGAUUUCCCAUCGCCUUCUGUCCCGCUAAAGGGUUCAGAUCCUGAUGAGGCGUCCCAGGCCCAGGAAGACCCUGGCCAAGGAGACCUGCUGGUCUGUGCCGAGAAGGCGGACCCGGAGCUGGAGUCCGCGUCGAGGGGAGGGCAGGAGCCGCGGCCCCCGCAAGCCCAGGUAGGCGGGAGUGGCCCGCGGCUGUUCUCAAGAUCCGGAGCGGAUUCCGGGCGGGGAGCGCUCCUGCCCAGGGCUGCGAGCCGCCCGCGACCCAGGGCGCUCGGGGCAGGGGCGGGGAAAGAAGGGGCGCCCCGUCACUUGCCCCCUCUGCAGACCAAGGCCGAGUCCCAGAUACUGGAGAACGGGGAGGAGGCCCCGGGGCCGGACCCCUCACUCGACCGCAUGCUCAGUAGCAGCUCCUCCGUGUCCAGCCUUAACUCCUCCACGCUGAGCGGCAGCCAGAUGAGCCUGUCCGGCGAGGCGGAGGCGGUGCAGGUCCGCGGCUCCGUGCACUUCGCGCUGCACUACGAGCCGGGUGCCUCUGAGCUGCGCGUGCACGUGAUCCAGUGCCAGGGCCUGGCCGCCGCCCGACGCCGCCGCUCAGACCCCUACGUCAAAAGCUACCUCCUCCCGGAUAAGCAGAGCAAGCGCAAGACGGCAGUGAAGAAACGGAAUCUGAAUCCGGUUUUCAACGAGACUCUCCGGUACUCCGUCCCGCAGGCCGAGCUGCAGGGCCGCGUGCUGAGCCUGUCCGUGUGGCACCGCGAAAGCCUGGGUCGCAACAUCUUUCUGGGUGAAGCUGAAGUGCCCUUGGACACGUGGGACUGGGGCUCUGAGCCCACCUGGCUCCCCCUGCAGCCCCGGCCCCUGCUCCACGACAAGCCCGCCUCUCGCAGGUCCCACUCUCUCCCGACGACCUUCCGAGCCGCGGGCUACUCGCCCUGUCCCUCAAGUACGUCCCCGCCGGCUCCGAGGGCGCUGGACUGCCCCCGAGCGGGGAGCUGCACUUCUGGGUGAAGGAGGCCCGGGACCUCCUGCCACUGCGGGCAGGAUCCCUGGACACUUACGUACAAUGCUUCGUACUGCCUGAUGACAGCCGGGCCAGCCGCCAGCGUACAAGGGUUGUGCGACGCAGCCUCAGACCUGUGUUCAACCACACCAUGGUGUACGAUGGCUUUGGGCCUGCCGACCUGCGCCAGGCUUGUGCCGAGCUCUCCCUCUGGGACCAUGGGGCCCUGGCCAGCCGCCAGCUGGGGGGCACACGCCUCAGCCUGGGCACUGGCAGCAGCUAUGGGCUGCAGGUGCCCUGGAUGGAUUCCACACCAGAGGAGAAGCGGCUGUGGCAGGCCCUCCUGGAGCAGCCGUGCGAGUGGGUGGAUGGCCUUCUACCCCUCAGAACCAACCUGGCCCCCAGGACGUAGCCCGACCAAGCCUCUCUCUCUGGACCCCCAUCUCAGGGCCUGCCCUUGGCUAAAGUCAAUAAAGUCUGCUCUAAGGGCAA